UCAUAUAUUUGUAUCAGAUAUCGAUGGUUUUUCGAAUGGCUAGUGAGUAUAUUGAAAAGAACAUAAUAUGGUAGAAAAUUUUCUGACAUAACUGAGAUUUAACAAAUUGAUGAUCAAGAGAGAGUGUUUGGAUUAGUCACAUUAAAUUGCGAAUAGCCUCAUCACUGGUAGGAACGUGUGAUUGAGAAUAGCCUGUCAUGGGUAAGAAUGUGAUACUUGAGUUUACCAAUCAUGGGUUAGAGC
rnacentral:lncRNA from 1 species